UAUGGCGCCCCGUGAUACAGCGCGUAAACUUGUCUAUAGGAAGUACAUUUAUAAGGAAGUAUGGUUGAAGAAAAAUGUUUUGAGUGUCCAGAAGCCCAGAGCAGAGUCACCUACACCCAGCCGGGAACCUCUGAGACGUGGCAAAAUGUCUGAACAACAGAUGAAAAGCUCUGACUACCAGUUGGACUAUGAAAACGUUCAGGAUUCAGUUGAGACGAUGGAGGGGAUUGUCAGCGAGGGUGCUGUAAUGUUCACACACAACCCUCUGGGUCAAACUCUUCUGACAGUCCAACAAGACAUUAAGGCUAAACUGAAACACAAGUAUCAACACAUAUCUGAAGGAAUUGGACACCAUGGAAACCA